UACGGAGGGGGCUAGCGUUGUUCGGAAUUACUGGGCGUAAAGCGCACGUAGGCGGAUCAGUCAGUUAGAGGUGAAAGCCCAGGACUCAACCCUGGAAUUGCCUUUAAUACUGCUGGUCUGGAGGUCGAGAGAGGUGAGUGGAAUUCCGAGUGUAGAGGUGAAAUUCGUAGAUAUUCGGAGGAACACCAGUGGCGAAGGCGGCUCACUGGCUCGAUACUGACGCUGAGGUGCGAAAGCGUGGGGAGCAAACAGG
rnacentral:rRNA from 1 species